rnacentral:rRNA from 1 species
GAUGAACGCUGGCGGCGUGCCUAAUACAUGCAAGUCGAGCGAACAGAUGAGGAGCUUGCUCCUCUGACGUUAGCGGCGGACGGGUGAGUAACACGUGGAUAACCUACCUAUAAGACUGGGAUAACUUCGGGAAACCGGAGCUAAUACCGGAUAAUAUAUUGAACCGCAUGGUUCAAUAGUGAAAGACGGUUUUGCUGUCACUUAUAGAUGGAUCCGCGCCGCAUUAGCUAGUUGGUAAGGUAACGGCUUACCAAGGCAACGAUGCGUAGCCGACCUGAGAGGGUGAUCGGCCACACUGGAACUGAGAAACGGUCCAGACUCCUACGGGAGGCAGCAGUAGGGAAUCUUCCGCAAUGGGCGAAAGCCUGACGGAGAAACGCCGCGUGAGUGAUGAAGGUCUUCGGAUCGUAAAACUCUGUUAUUAGGGAAGAACAAAUGUGUAAGUAACUAUGCAAGUCUUGACGGUACCUAAUCAGAAAGCCACGGCUAACUACGUG